UACAUCGUAAUGUGUCUUGUUGUUUACGGUUUUGACUUCUAUUCAAAUACACACUCUGUUUCCCAGUCGCUUUAUUCAUCUUGUAAAGUGUUGGUCGGGUCUGCUUUUGCGACUUGAACAUUCUUGACAGCACUGUGCGAUGACUUCGACAACAGCUAUUUGUAAGUCUGAGAUGAGUCAUCGUCACGUGCACACAAUUCGCGAGGAUAUCAAUGUAUAUUUAUCUGACGACGUCCUUAACGCCCGUUCCCAUUAAUAGACAUGACAAAGCCGUGAGGGACGGGACUGUUGUUGCUGCGCCCGGAAAGUCGUCCUCUCGAUCGACAGGACAGCCAGUAACAACAGCAACAGCAGCGGCUUCGUCGAGAACGUCCUCGCAUCAGGAUUCGAUCUUUCCUGCUCGCUCAUGUAAGUCGCCGCUCGGAGACGGACGUGGCGGUUCGGCCCACUCGCCGCGACGCCAUUGUAGCGAGAUAAAACAGUGAUAGGGAGAUCAAUGAAGGCGAUAGGUGAAGUUAUUACCGGAUAGAAGGAGAGAGUGGGAGAGAAAGACGGGGAAGAGAAAAGGAGCGAGAGCGCGAUGCCAAAGAGAGAACGAGCUCUAUUGCAGAGAAGGAGAAGAGAGGGGAGGAAGCGGGAGAGCAACGCCAAGCGAGCGGAUCCCGAUAAGCAGAAACAGUUAUCAAGAAAUGGAAAUGACUGAUAAAGCGGCCCGCCGUCGUUCGUUUUUAAUGUUACAUUAAGCCCGCCCUCCCGAUUGUACCGGGUGUCUCGCAGAACACUAGCGCGAGCUCUGUGGUCCGUUAAUCGUGCGAUUGUUAAGAGAGAAAUAAUCUCGUUUAGAGAAAAUAUAUAUUCGUGUCUGUUCAAU